rnacentral:misc_RNA from 1 species
UACCAACAUACAACUGCACAGCUCCUAAGCUCUGUUUCACGACCAUCUGCUGCUCAAUAGCGCUCUCAAGGGCCUUCUUAAUAUCAGUAUUACGAUGUUUGGGAUCUCCAUAUCGAAUGCAAUCAGCUAUAUUUGAUUCAGUUGGCAUUAUCUUUUCAGUUUUAAGGGUGUUCAAGGCAAGCAAGAUAACUCCUAUAAGGCCUUGAACAUAUUCCGAAGGUUUGGGGCAUCCUGGAGUUCCCCAUAUAACAUUACCAGGAGCAACAUCGGUAGCUGUUACUGCUGAAGAAGAUGGUGGAUAUUCUGGACAACUGGAGUAUCUAUUGUUUGGUGUCUCAUGGUGUCCUGAUGGCUUGUUCUGUGGCAUAUAUCCAUUUUGUGAGUCAUUUAAUUUAACAGACUUUAGAGCUUUUUUCUUUGAAUCAUGCUUUUGCUCUCCGCCUCGUAUUUGAACAGCUGGAGGGUUGUGAAAGCUGGUUGGGUAUCCAGAAAUGUUCAAGUUACCAAUAUCAGGCGCAUUUGAAAGUGGUGCUGAGGUAAAGGUAGUCCCAUUGGGCCUAGCAGGCAUUAGAGGAGAAGUAUGGGUUUGAAUAUUAGGGGGAUACAAACUACCUGCUGCAAAAUGAGGAUGCAUAGCUGGAGCAUUUAGCCUUAGUGGCUGUGGAUAGUGAUUUUGAUGGUUGCCAUGAGCAUUAGUGACCUCACUCCAAGUAAAAUUAGGAUUUCCAGGAACAAAAUCUGGAGCAGGUCCAUUUAGGGGACCUUUUGGGACAUAAGGACCAGGUUGGUAAGAGUUAGAAUUAUGCUGAUCUUCUUGGGUCCAAACAGGCAUAUUUGAUGUUCUUGAUCCAUUUGUUUGGUUCAAAUUCCUUCGGGUGGGUUUCGUUUUCUGUUUAGUUAUAUAAGGAGUUCUCUGAUUUCCCAUAUUGAAAUUAUCAGGGUAGGAAUCCACUGGUUGCUUUAUGUGAAUGGCAUCAGAAAUUGGAAUCUGUAAAGUGUCUAAACUGGAUGUAAAACUAUUAUUACCAAGUUGUUGUGAUUCACCAUCUGAUAGUGGUGGUCCUCCAGCGAGAAGACUUGUCCAAAGCCAUACACUCCUAGCAGCUGCAAUGAGGGGUGCCGAUGCUCUUUGCGGCUGUGCUAGAAGAAUAUUGUAUCUCCUCAUCCGCAACUGAUGGAGAGCAUUAGAAAAAUCCCGAUCACCAGAAAUUAACAAAUAAUUAGCAGGAGCAGGAUUGUCCACUGCCCAGAACAACAUAUCCACGAGAAUCUUCUUGUCACUGGCAUCUUUAAC